UACGGGGGGGGCAAGCGUUGUUCGGAAUUACUGGGCGUAAAGGGCUCGUAGGCGGCCAACUAAGUCAGACGUGAAAUCCCUCGGCUUAACCGGGGAACUGCGUCUGAUACUGGAUGGCUUGAGAUUGGGAGAGGGAUGCGGAAUUCCAGGUGUAGCGGUGAAGUGCGUAGAUAUCUGGAGGAACACCGGUGGCGAAGGCGGCAUCCUGGACCAGCACUGACGCUGAGGAGCGAAAGCCAGGGGAGCAAACGGG
rnacentral:rRNA from 1 species